UUAGAACUUAGAACGUAUGAACUUAGCCUAAGUCGUAAACAGAACACGUGGUUUAAAAUGUUAUUAUACUGUUAGGAGACACGAUCUGCAUUGUGAUGGUCUUCCUUCCUACACAAAGCUUUCAAACGUAUUUACCUAAUCUGGAAUCUUUAUAUACGAUUGUUUUAUAUACAAUGGUCUGUCCGAAUACUCGAUUCUGAUUGGCUGGAAGGUGUACGUUCAAACCGUGUAAUGUACAGGUAGUUCCUGUCAGUUUAAUCGCAGUUCUAAAUUAAUGUGCUGCCUAAAAACUGUAACCAUCGUAACAUGCGGUUAUAGUUGCAUACAGUAGUUAAACUCAUAGCUUCGUUAUUAGUAGAGACACGGCACAGAAGCAGGUAAUUCACACGCGCACAAUCUCUCUCUCUCUAAAAACUCUUUAUUAUAAUUCAUUCAUAUAAAUGUAAUCUUAUCGCCCUACUUUAUCUCUUAGUAUGAUUUAGAGUCUGCAGAAUUCUAGACCUGUGGCUGUGGCUCAGGUGGUAGAGCGGGUUGUCCACUAAUCACAGGGUUGGCGCUUUGAUCCCCAGCCCACAUGACUUCACAUGCCGAAGUGUCGUUGGACGUGUGUGUGUGUGUGUGAGAAACAGUGUAAAGCAUUUUGUAGAACUGCUAGGGUUAAAAUGUGCUAUGUAAGUGCAAACUAUUUAUAUAAAAUAAUUAACAAAAAUUAAUUUUAUCUUUUCAGUCAAAUUUUGCGCUUCAAACACCAAAGACAGCUUUAGCUAGUCAAUGCUGGCAAAUGACCAUGGUAUAAGCGGGAUAAUCCACGGCUAGGUGUACGUUACACCAUUUUAAUACACUCCGGUCACUAUUAAUACACUUUAAUACACCAUUUUAAAAUCAUGUAACGCACCCCUAGCCAUGGAUGAUCCCUUACUUAAUCUUCAGAAAUACAGGGUGUGCCACAAGUCUCCAUACGUAGGGGAAAUGAAUACUUUAGCUAAAUGUAACUUUAUUUACAAGAUGUUCUACCUUAGCCCCAAGAGGCAAUCAUGAUCUCAAAAUAACCUAAAGCUGUUUUCUCCCGAGAUCAUUUUAUCAUAAGAAAAUGUCAUGCGUUGUGAAUGGGACUGGUGUUGCUUGCACAGUGGCAUCUUCACCAUCACGAAUGUAAUAAUUGCCCACUGUAGAGAGAGACUUUAUCUCCGCAUUAAGAUAGAUGGGUGUCCACUUCAGUUGUUCGACACUAGUAAAGAAGCGAUCAACCACUGACGGACGUAGAGCUAUUUCAGCUUGAGUGAGUCCUUGAUCAAAGUAAAAACGAAUUUGUUCAUCCAUGAUGCUGCGGGAUCGCGCUAAGCAUUUGCUGCCUUCAGAGCAAUCAAAACGUUAUAACGAGUACACUGAAAAAAGGAGCUCUGAUCACCAGUAAACAACCUUUAUGUCGAGAUUAGGGAUGUGCGCUACAACUAAUUUGACUGACGUUUAAACAGAAGUUUUGUAACCGUCUAGUCUAAAAGUAAGAAACCCCCAGAAGUCACUCACAAACUUUGUGUGUAUAUAUGUAUAGAUCCAUUUUAAAUACUUAAUCUAUGAAUCAAACAGUCAAAUCCCGUAAUUACUGUAGAACAGUUCGUUGUUAUUGCUACAUACUGUGUUCUCCAUGGUCUCUUUCAUAUUCGCGAGCACAUUCUGAUGCACCAGCUCUAACCUUGACGUGAUCUUUUUCCGCCCUGGUGUUGUGUAUUCAGUCUUGACGAUGUCCAUCAAUUUUCAGAGGCCUUCUCCCUCAACAAAACUGAGUGGUAGCAUGUCUCUUGCAGUCAUCUCUGAGAUAAGCUUGGUUAUUUUUUCAGAGCAGAUAGGAUGACGGCGAGUUGAAGUGAUGUACUCGAUGGGCAUUCGCUUGCUUCGGCUAGUUUCUCCUAUGCUAACACCUACAUGCCUGUGCUGUAUACGGUUACGCACGGCUCCGUUGGAAUUAUUAUAUGCCAGUUUGACAUGACCUAGCAUGCAUAAACUUCAGUUUUCUUGUAAGUCAAAAUACUCCCACACCUUGCUCGUCUUUCCAGUGGUCAUUUCUGAGCCGUCGUGACUGACCCGGAGAAAAUGCGAGAUCUGAGGUGUGUGGUGUUAUCAUGCCAAGAUCUAAAGAGUUCUGUAAGGCCUUCAGAAAAAGGUUGUGGAUGCCUGCGAGUCUGGCAAGGGAUUUAAAAAGAUCUCAAGAUUAUUUGAAAUACAACAUUCCACUGUAAGGGAAAUCAUCUACAAAUGGCGCCAAUUUCAGACGACUGCCAGUUUCUCCAGGAUUGGCCAUCCCAGCAAAAUCAGACGGUCUUGCAUCAGAGCAGUCCGUCUGAUGCAAAAAGAACUCUCCAAAAACCCCAAAAAUUUCAUCACAGGAUCUGCUAGUAAGUCUUGCAACUGUUGGUGUCAAAGUGCAUGCUUCUACAAUCAGAAAGAGAUUGCACAAAUUUGACCUGCAUGGGAGAUGUGCCAGGAAAAAGCUUUUGCUGUCUAAAAAGAAGAGCAAGACUACAGUUUGCCAAGGAGCAUAUAGGCAAAGACCAGGCCUUUUGGAAUAAAGCACUCUGGACAGACGAAUCAAAGAUAGAGUUGAUUGGCCACAAUAACAGUAGACGUGUUUGGUGAUGACCAAAGACAGCUUUUCAGAAGAAGCACCUUAUACCAACUGUUAAGCACGGUGGUGGAAAUGUUGUGGUUUGGGGUUGCUUCGCUACCUCUGGGAAUGGACAGCUUGCAUUUAUUGAUUCAACUAUGAAUUCUGCAUCAUAUCAAAGAGUACUUGAAGAUAAUGUGAGGCCAUCUGUCCAAAAGUUGAAGUUGAACUGAAAGUGGGCCUUUCACCAGGAAAAUGAUCCUAAUCACACUAGCAAAUCCACCAAGGAAUGGUGCAUAAAGAAGAAAUGGAGGGUUAUGGAAUGACCUAGUCAAAGCCCAGAUUUGAAUCUCAUUGAAAUGUUCUGGGGAUGAUUUCAGAUGUGCAAUACAUGCCAGAAAACCUUUAAACAUUUUGCAACUGAAAGAAUAUUGCAUGGAAGAGUGGUCAAAAAUUCAAGCAAACCUAGUGGACAAUUAUGCAAAACGCCUACAAGAAGUUAUUUCUGCUAAAGGGGGCAAUACUAGCUUCUGAGGCCAUGGGUGUACUUACUUUUUCCACAAAAGAAUGUUAUCAUAUUGUCUAUUGAUAUUUCUGUUGAAUAAAUGAUUGAAAAGGCUCA